GCCAGCCCCUAGCGCAGACGGCGAAGAGCUGGGAUAGAGCUCGCCUCGGCUCUGCUGGCCUUGGCUGCAGCUCUCCCAGAGAGCGGGGCGCCCCAAGAAGAAUCCGUUACCUGGCUCUCUCUUCAGGGAUGACAUCAUCGGCAAGCCCUAGUCUUCAAGGACCACCUUCAUUGGAUACCAAGCCUGCUGCUCAAGUGACUGUGGCGAUACCUGCUGAACAUCUCUACCUCCUGAGUCAAGGAGCACGGAUUCCUGGAAGCCAUCAACAUACAGAGCAGACCCCUGUGGACCCCCCAGCAACAAGACAUCGAGGGACAAGGGGCAAAGAGGAUCAGCAGUGUCCUGCUAGCCCCCCUCUGGGUUCAAACCCUGAACCAAAGCCCUAGUGAGGGGGCAUUGGUCAUGGCCUUCAACAUUUGUUCUGCUUGUGCCUUGAGUUUGACCCUUUCCCUGUCCGUCUCUGCUUGUGUCCAUCUGCCAGUGAACUGGAGUGUUUCCCUCCUCAAAGGAGGUCGUCCCUUGUGACUGACCAUGCUGUCCUAACAAUGUCCUGAGCAGAAGGGUCCCUUUGGGGGCCUCUCAGGAGGGGGGGACCUGGGUCGGGGGCCACCAGCAUCGUGCUGGCCACUCUGUGGGUGGGGGCGGGGUGCUUCUGGAAUGAGCAUGUGGCUGACCCCCCCCCCUUCAAGGCAUGUCAUGCCCCCUCCACCACCCACCUUCUCGGAGAUGUCCCUUCCUCUUGGGUUAAUGGACGGUGACAUUAGGAGCAACCUCCUAGGGUUGUUGUGAGAAUUAAAUGAACUAGAACAGCCUGAAGCAGGGCUGGGCAGACGCCCUCAGCACAUGUUUGUUGAAAGGUUUGCAGGUGGAUCUGUCCCACCCACUCACUGUCUCAUCUAUUUUCCCGCAGCCCCUGUGCACAGGGCUCUCCCUGCACCAGGCAGAGGGGCUCCUGAAGACAGCAGGCCGUCGGGGAGACUUUGAGUAAGGACUUAAGUCACGUGUGGCAAUUACCAGAGCACUUUCUGCGAAACGCGCCCAUGCCGUUCCUAAGUAAUACGUAUACGCAAAGGGCGCGUUGGGGGGCGGGGCACAUCUUGUCUAGACAGGAAUGAAUUGGCGCUGACUGUUCAUGAUUUUAAAGAGGUAGGUGGGAAAGAGAACUGGGAGGACCCAACCUCACUCGUGGGUUGGACUGAAAUUUACACCAAGGACAGUGGAGUAUUUUGCCACAUUGCUGGCAAAAGAAGGGAUCAGAGUUGGACACGGGUGCCACUGUGGCUACCCCCGACGGUCCUCUCCCCUGUCCUCAGCCUAAAGCUCUUCAAAGAGCUCCUUUAUUUCGUAUCAGACAUUUCACAACGGGAAAACGUCUAAACCUAGCUCCCCAAGGGUAGUCUUGGGGAGCUGCUGGGGGAGGGGGCAGCUCAAAUCUGGUAAACAUGUGUCGACUUCAUCUUUUAGUAAUGGUUGUGACCUUAAACAAGUCACUUCCAAGUUUCAGUUCCUUUCACACCUUAAGAGAGAUUCUAAAAAGGGGUUGGGGGGUUGGAGAAAGGAAAGGAGAAAGGAAAAAGAAAAAUGUAAAGAGAAAAGAAAGAAAAAAGAAAGAAAGAAAGAGAAAAGGAAAUGAGUUCAUCCAACUAGACAGGGAGCUUUUGAAGACCAAAUGAUGCUAACUCACAAGAAAGUGCUUUGUAAGUUGCCGUGAAAUUACAGAACACAUACUAGCCAAUAAGGCUGUCCCUAUUACCCACUGUCCAGUCCUGUUCCCGCUCACAAGAGUGGGCACCCAGUAGGUGCUGGGUGUAUUUGUGUUCAAUAAAUAAAUUCCAGGAUUAAAAAAAAACAGAAUUAAUUCAACAAACAUUCUGAGAUGCUGACCAUGCGUGCCCGGCGCACCAGGCUAUGGCUGAGGUACGAAGAUACCAAGAAUGGCCUGUUUUCGAGGCUAAUUGGUGCCCUCAUUUUACCAGCACUUUCUUUGGUCACCUUUUAAACCAGGCAGUUUUGUCCAGACGAGACAAAAAGAAAAAGAAAGAGAGAAAGAAAACCAACUGGGUUGCUUUAGGGAAGCCCAGCUUGGAGCGGACGACAGUGUCCAGGUCUUUGAAAGGGGCUGAUUGGAUUAUGAGGCAAAUGGAGGCAGGAGGAGGACUCGGAAGGUGACAAACGCAGUGGGCGGAGACCCACUCUGAGUUAAUUCAGGCUAUCAGGAGGGACCCUUCCCAUCUUCCAGAGAGGCCAGCGGCUUCCACCACUGCCCGUUCCAUCCUUAACGUUCAGCACACACGGAUACUGGAGCUACCCUGGCCCUCUCUGGUCCAUUCAUUUGAUGCUCACAACUCCCUGUCCUGAUCCAGGGCCGGCCUGCCGUCUCCCAGGGAAGCAGAGGUUGCCAAGUGGUUUCUCCAGUUGGGGCGCCCCCAAACUGUUGUGCUCAUGACCUCUUCCAUUUUAGCGGUUCCAAGCCUGCACCUUCACUCCAGUCCCCCUCUGGACUCCUGACUCUGCUGUUCCCACCUGGAGCCCCCCUCCCUCCUGUCCCCCUCCCUCGCCACUCCAGUGUAUGUCUUUCCUUCACAGCCGGCUUCUCGAGGCCUGUCUACACUCGCUGCUUUCCUUCCUCACCUCCAAUUUCCCUUCCAACCCACUGCUUCCUGAUUCGCUCUUCUCCAUCGAACGGCUCUCGCUCAGGUAAAGACUUUUCUCUAGCUCCGCCCUUGGCACGACUCCAGCCUGGCUGGACACAAGGACACAAACACGCAUCUCCAUUGCUCCUGUUCCAUGGCUUCAUGGCUCUGGCUCCCUUCUGUUCCCACAUUGCUGGCUUCACGGACACAACCGUUCUCACCUUCCCUGGGAACUUUCAUUCCCAGCCCUCUCAAUUCCCCAAACCUGCCUCAUACCAACAAGCAGCUGGCAGGGCUGUCUAGAGCACUCUGGGGUUGGCCAGUCUGGGCUCAGGUCUUAGGUAAAACACUUCACACUGAGAACAUGGGGUAACACAGCUCUUCCAAGCUAUGCUGGCUAAAAUAGGGUUAAUGGCCUUCACCAGGAAUGCCAGGUGUGCCUCACCAGGUAAGCCCUAGAUACUCUAGCCGAGGGACUGGAGGUAAAAUAAAUUAGCUAUUCCUGAGCAAAUGCAAUUAGGGUCACAAUUAAGUUUGCUUGAAGUUAAGUUCCCACAGAGAAGACCAAAGAGGAGGGGAGGGAGGGGCAUUAAAGAGAGCAAAGGCAAGCGGGGAGGGAUUUAGAAUGUAAAGACCUACCUGAACCUCAUCUAGAAAAAGCUUUUCCUCAGCCUGGGUUUAGAAGAGAAAAAAAAAAUCAGAAGGAAGCUUUUAAGUUGAUUACCCAGUGACAGAUGCCAGGAACCUUCCAUAUCACAUCACCCCGUUCAAGGGUUUUGAGUUUCUCCUCUGAGAUUCAACCUCUGGACCUCCAGCCCCCUACCAAGGCGCCUCCCUGGACAGGUGCUUAAGUCCUGAAGACACACGAAGGGUCUCGGGGAAUGACUAGCCCACAGCGCAGGGCCACCCCUCCCCUCCCCGCAGCCAUUUUGUCUGUAGAUUUCCCUUCUCGUUGGGGCCUAAGCCUCGGUUCCAGCGCAAGACCCCACUGAAUGAGGUUGCAAGCUGAAGGUAGCCACGAGUGGAGGAGCUACGCACACGGUCCACUCUGACCACACACACUGUUCCUUCUCAGUCCCGGGCACGUUCAGUGCCUGGGCUAAAGGCUCUGUGGCUCCGUGGGUCCAGAUUAGGUUGCCACCCAGCACAGUAAGCAGCUGUAGCCAGGGGACUAGAAUAAAGGCUGAGGCUUCUGAGAGACAGCCUCACACAAGCCUCCCUCCUCACAGUAUGGAGUCAGUUGGUAUGGCUUCCAUGGUCUCCGGGGUCCCUCUCUCAAACAUCCAUCAAUUAGUGAAAUAAUAGGUCCCUGAAGCCACUUGGGAUAUCCUAGGAGGUUGGGAGCAUUUCAGAAUCUAGGGAACCUGCUGAGGGCCUUAGCUCAGUACCUGACAGGCCUGGGUCACUAGGGUUUUGUGUAAGGAACCUCCAAACUUAGCAGCCUCUAACAACUCAAACAUGAGUACCCCCACAUCCUGGGACCCUCAAGGAUAUUUCUGUGCUUCAGUGGAUACAGAAGCCCCCCCACCACUCCCCACUUUCAGCCCUGGCAUCCAGACUGGCUUCAGAAUUGGCCCAGAGACCUAGAGCAUUCCGGGUGCCUAACGUCUAUGGGAUCAGUCAGGAAAUAGCAGGAGCUGUGGAGAUGAGGCCAAGGAAGGGAGGGAGGAGGCAGGAGAAGCCCCGGCCCCCAAUCCUUCUGAGAACGACUUUUUCUGCCUUUACUGCCCAUCGCCCUCCUCCUCCAUUCUCUGUCUCAGCCCCCCCCUCUGUUUGUCUCCCCCCUCUUCCGUGUGGAUCAGGCCUUUUGGGGGUGCCCCCUAGGCCACCCCUUCCUCCUCUGGGUGUCCCAGCACCAACCCGGUAAAUAGUGGGGCUCAGUAAGAGUAUGUGGGAUGCAUGGUGAGAGGACAGGCGGACGAAUGGAUGGACUCAACUGUCACACCAGGGCAGCUAGGGCUCAGAGGGUCGAGGGUGGGGGCGGGGGCCCGAGGGACGCGGGAGCAGCCGCCACCUGCUCUAGUCUAUGGUUGUGCCCGUGCCCUCGUCCGCGCGUCCACUCUGUCAUCCAACAGUUGAUCCUAACUGAGCGUGCCCAUGGUCCUGGCCCUGGGCUUGGCACCUGCCACCUAGCUUGUCCCUUGAUGGCCUCUGCUUCCCAGGGAGGGCAAGCUGGGGGGUUGUCUGGGAGCCAGAGUAGUGGUCUCUGGCUCCGUAGAGGGCAUUCAGAGGGCAUGGGGUGGGUCUGGUUUGCUGCCCUGCCUUCAUGCAGACCUGCCCACCCCCAGGGCCUUGCCCCCCUCUCUGCCCCCCUUCCCAUUCAUGGCUGAGUAUGGUUUACUGCCCCCCCCUCUCCCACCCCACUCCGCCCCCCGCAGCUUAGGGCCUUAGAAAGGAACAGCUGUGAUGGUCCCCGGUCCUGGCCACACAGGUCCUCCUCUAGAGUUGAUGGGGGUCUGAGGCUUUUGGGCCCUUUCCACAGUGUGUUCCUUCUCUUGGGAUGCAGUCCAGUCAUUUUGCCCCCCCUGUGGCUGAUGACUGUGUCCCAUAUCAGGAUCCCCCCCAGAGAGCAUGUGCAGGCCCCCGCCUCUGCCUGGCUAACUCCCUACUCUUCUUUACCUGCUGGUUCUCCCUGCUUCUAUGCCCCCCUCCGGGGGGGUUCAUCACCCACUUGGCAUCUGCUUGCAUUGUUUCCCCCCAUGUCUCCCUACCAGCCCUUGCCUCAGUCCCGGGGCUCAUCCUGCUCCCCCCUUGGCUUUACAGUCUGCCUUUCCUUGCUAAGCCCACAACCUGUGGCUACGCUCGUCCACCUGCUGCCCUUAGCCUUGCCACCACGUCCCCAAUCCCACUGUGCCUCCCCAAGUCAGUGUCACCUCAGUUGCCAGCAGCCUCCUGGUGCCUGCUGGACAAUCCCUGGCUGGUUCUUCAUCUCCGGUGGGACUGAUUUCCAGGGUCUGACUGACCAGGGGCUUAAACCAGGUCUAUGACUCGGCCUGCUGGUCCUGGAGACCCCUCAUCGGCGGCGGCGUUCCCUGGCCUGUUGCGUCUUCCUGUGCCAUUUCCUGUUGUGCUCAGGUUCUACGAGCCGCCCAUCUCCACGGAAGAGCAGCUGGAAUCACCCAUUAGCCAUGCUGGCUGAAGAGCAAAGGAUGGAGGACCCCAGGACGCCCAGCGCGAGGACCCCAGGACGCCCAGCGCGAGGACCCCAGGACGCCCAGCGCGAGGACCCCAGGACGCCCAGCGCGAGGACCAUCACAACAAGCAUCGUGCCACCCGCCCGGGUUGGGCCCAAGUCAUCACCCAGAAUCCUGCGUGGGACCCUGGACACACGGACGACGGACACAUGCCCCAGGACCGUCCAACUGUAAAUCGAUGGAAGUGCUCUUGUGACUUGGGGGCUUCAAAGGGAUGAGGAGAAAAUGCAGACCGAGGGACCAGCUUCUCAAAUAGGCUUCAAGCCUCCAUGACCUGAGCUCACCCCCUGAAAAUGUCUGGAAAACAUAAUGGGCAGGUUUUCUGUCUUCAAAGUUUCCAUCGAAACCUCUUCAAGUUCUUUAUUGUUUGGGACUGAGACACUUGGGGACGGUAAUGGGGACUUUCUUUUGUAUCUGUCUUGAAAGGCCAAAAUAUUUUUAUAUUGCUGUAGACAAAGCCUCCUAUUUACAAAUGAACUCUGUUCUGUCGUUUCCCACCAGGAAGACUGUACUAUGUUUGUGUCUCUAUGUAUUCUGGGGUCUUGAAACAGGUUUCUCAUGGGGAUGGCCAUUCACUGGGGCCCAGAGGGGCAGAGGGGGGGAAGUGUCUACCCUGCCAAGGGGGGUCUGGGGAAGGGGGGGUGGACGCCCUAGUCUCGGGUCUGUCCUUUGUAUGUCUAGGGGUGAGCCCUGGGAGAAUCUGGUAGUAAAAGAACAUAUGCUGUGUUUUCCCCACAUCUGCCAUUUGUGGUGUUUGUUUCUGCGCUGAGGGUUUGCAUACUCUGCUGGUUAACGCCAUGGGAGGAAGCAGGAAGGGACCAAGAGGGUCCGGUUUGCUUGCCUGGAGGCUGUUUCAUUGGUGUGUGUUACAUCACAUAGUAAAUGUUUAGAUGGGCGGGAGAGAGAAGCAGGCUAGAAGCGAAGUGAGCGAGUUGGGAUGGGUGCCUAGGCGAUCAGCAAAAUGCCAAGCCCGGAGGUGUGUAGGGCCACGUGCAAACUGGUGUUGGGUCGUCUGGGACCUAAGAGAUUUUUCAUUAAGGAAGGGAUCCCAAAUCAAAAAGACGGAAGGAGAAGCUAGAUUGUCUAAACCAAAGGUGAGGUUCCGAGGCCCCUUGAUGUGAGCAGAGGGGUGACGGCUUGAGCAAAGAAAGAAGCAGGAGAGAGAGAGAAAACAAACAAAACUGAUAAACAACACAAACAAUAAAGGGAGGGAGGGGGUGUGCUGCCGUGCGGGGAGAACCCAGCCGGGUCAGGGAACCUCAGGGUUAGUUAACCUCAGCUGGGCACCCUGGCUCUUUGGGGGCGAGGGGCAGCAAGUGAGAAAACGGGGGGGGCACGGAGAAAGCGGUCAGCAUAGAGACGCGAAAGGAAAAAGAAAGUUCAUUAAGCAGAUGAGUGGCUUCGAGGGAGGGCUGAGCUAGGAUUCCAAAUCCGAACACUUACCACUCCUGGCUGCUGCUUACAUAAUGGAAGAAAGGGAGCAGGGAGAAAGGGUAGCCGAGUGAAUGCAUGAAUGGGAGAAAGAGGUAGGGAGCUGGGUGGGCCACUGAAGGACGCUUUCAGGUGACCCUCUUGUCCACCAGCCUGUGCAGCUGAGAGAGACAAUCGGGCGGCGGGGAGGGAAAGAGAUGCAAAUUCUGUCUCCAAAAGGAGAAAGGUAAUCAUGUGCCCACAGAUAGGUAUAUGAAUACAGCUAGAGGGGAGAGCCCCACGAGGGACAGGACGAGAGACCGCGCUAGCAGACUGGUUAAUUCCCAUCUGUGUUUCUGAGAUGGACAAUGACCCACCCGACCAAGAGACCUUUCAGGCAUCAAUAUGUCAGGGAGGGCUUCAAUGGGGCGAUGGAGGGGAGGCCCAUUAAUAGCAGAUUAUGAUGUAUCCAAUUAGGUGCACCUGCCCUCUGAACGUGUAGAGACCAGUAUUGAAAUAGAAAGAAAGACUGAAUGGAUGCCUGAGUGCACGAAUGAAUGAAUGAGAAAAAAAGCUUUGCAUUCACUCUGAGGGGGAGGGUGCUGCAGAGCCCAAGGGUCAUCUGAUCUCCGGGAGAAUAAAAGGGGGAAAGAGUGGAGAAAGUAACAAUAAGAUGAGGGGAAAAAAUGAAAAGACGUGCAGAAGAUAAUAAGCGGGACAAUUAAGCCUAGGAGAGAGGGCUUGUUUAACACAAGUCAUCCAUAUUAAUUCAAAAUUGGGGCCCUGGGCUGGGGUGGAGCUCAGGGAUGGGUCUGUUGCCUAGCAUGCGCAGGGCUCUGUGUUCCAUCCCAGCCCUGCAAAACAAACACAAAGGACAAGAGUAUGGCUGAGAGGUUGUAAAUGAUGCUGCUGCCAAUAAUGACGAGGGAGACGGAACAAAGAGCCAGACACAUUAGGAGGUGGAGAGAAGGAAGAUGUAGGGAAAAAAUCUAGGUGGAUGGACACAUAGGAGAUAAGUAUUUAAAUAGGACGGAUGCAUUUUAUCUGUUGAGUGCAUUAAGUAAUAGGAGUGGAGGCUUAUCCGUAAAAGAACAAAUAUUGAAAAGGAACAAGUUGAGGAGGGGCCAUGAAAAAAACACGAGCCAGAAGUGAUGGCUUUAAUCACUACUGCACUCCUGCUCUGUAAGGGCAAAGAUGUGCAGAGGAGUACAGAAAUAAGACGGUCCAGACAGGCACAAUGAAAAGGCUGAGGACAUAAAUGAAUAUACAUGGAGACGUGUGCCCGAGAGGGCCAAGCGGGGACAAGAGAGUCAGAGAACAGCAAGAAUUAUGAUUAAUUCAGAACGGGGCUUCUGAGAUGGCUAAAUGUCUCCCGAACCAAAGCACCAGCACAAGGAAUUAGGGGACAAAAGGGCUGCGGGCAGAUCCGGGUGGAGAAGGCUUGGGACCCUCAGAUCAUGCUUAAUCUAAAUCUGUGCACCUGAGGUCCAUAAAUAAAAGAAUAAAUAUUGAAAUAAAAGAGUGACAGGAGGAAUGAAUGGACGCACGAAUGACUGAAUUAGAAAUGGAAAUGGCUAGAGCGGCCAGGAAGGAGUUGCCCAUGGGAGUUUCGCUCAUCUUAUUGUGGGCACCUGAGGUCCCUUAGUAAAGAGAUGCAAGGUGGAAGGAGAGAAGGGAGAAGGCAGCGAGGGAAAAUGAAAGAGGAGGAAAUGAGAAACUGGCCAGGGAGGAAGCAAUAUGUGGCUCCCUCAUAAGAGAAAGAUCUGUGAGGAUUAGUGAUGAGGGUCUCAUUAAUCCUAAAGACCGAGGAGGUAAUCCAGACCCAGGUUCUUAUGGGCAGGGAGGAUGGAGAGAAUUAAAAAAAAAAGGCAAAAAGGAAAGAAAGAUAAUAAAACAAGCAGCAUGAUAAAUGGGUAAUUAAGAGAGGCUGUCUGAACAGAAAUAGUAAUGAGUUCCCUUGCAUAGUCCUUAAACAGAUAAAUACAUUAUACCUUUCAAAGAAUGCGUGAAAAAUCGAAGAACGCUAUGGCCCCCAAACAAGGAAACCCCUUCCACUGUAAUAAAAUACAUGCAGUGGAAGGCCAUAAAUAACAGUAAAUACUUAAAUGUAAAAGCUGACCAGGCACAGGGAAGAAGUCUGCAAAGCACAGAUCUUGGAGGGAGACAGUGUUUGUUUUGUGCGUGGGAUUUUGAAUAAUGCAAUUAUGUUCCCAGGAAAUUAAUAGGUUAAUAAAGAUUCAAACCAAGACCCAGGAAGGACAAGGAAAGGAAGAGAGAUACGGUGGGCAGGGUGAAAGCUUGGGGUGGGCUUGACAUGCCCCGUUACAUUCUGCACACGAGGGUUUAUAAAAAUGAGACUAUCAGGAGAGAGCAGAGAGCCCAGGGACAAACAGGAACGGAAUGAAAACCUGGGGAAAAGGAGGGGGGACCGCGCAAGGAGGGGGCUUCCAGGAGCUGAGGGUUAUGGUUCAUUUAAAGCUGUGUCAUUAUGCCCCCAAAGGAACCAGAUCUCAGUGAAGGCUUUUGUGAGUGAGGAGCAGAUGACAGGAAUAUAGACGGACAGGGAGGAGGUUGUAUGUGCUGUUCACUGAUUGGUAAUGAGUGGCCGUUGUCCAGCCAGAGCCUAACUGGCUGGGAGCAGCUAUCUGAGGAAGAUCUUAGACCACCAUUGGCACUUCCUAGUUGUGUGGGCCAUUUCAUUGUCUGUCACGUCCUCCAUCCGAAGAAGAUACAUCCUUGCACAGUGCCCUACCCAGAGAUAGGUGGGAAGGGUUUAGGUCCAUGCCCUGUAGAUGAAUGCUAAACCCAGUGGGUGACGUGACCCCUUUCUGGGCAAGGGUCUCUUUGUGAGCUUUCUGUGAGGGGACCAAGAGGCAGGAGGAGGUCAGGGGGCAGGAGGCCUUGCCUGCCACAUGCCAUCUUGGGUGUGAGUGACAUCUGGGGUCUGGUGCAGUGGGGUGAGGGUGACCUGGAAGCCCCGAGACCCGAGAAGCAGUAGGAUGCUUGUUCUCACGGCUCUCUUGAGAUGCACCCAGGUGGGCACUAGCCAGCCCAUCUCAGCUCAGAGUUCUAAGCAGGCGUACCUCAGUCUGGGCUUCCUAGAGAUGAUCCUGGGUCCCAGCCCCUAGACAUGCCACCCCUGGAGCCCGUUUCAAGGCCUGUCUUCUAGAAUGUUUACAGAUAUGUUCUGUAACCAGGAAAAAAACGCGUUUGUACGGUGUGUUGAAACUGUCUUCUUGCUCGCCCCCUUGGGCUGUGUGGGGAGACUUGGAGAGCUGUUUAUUCUGGUGCACCCCCCUGUCCAUUUUUCCUUCCCUGUUAUGGACAAGAUUUUUGCAGUUGUGUGUUGUGUACCUGUGUCUGUGCAUUAAAAGAGUCACAGUAUCCCUUGGCUUCUCAAUUUCUAUUGGGGGCAUGAAAAAUAAAAACCGAUUCUUACUAAGAGCCCAAGCAGGAGAGGAAUAGCUUGGCUGGAUCCAGGGAGCAUGUGCAGACCUGGGAACAGGGUGGACUAGUGGGUUAUGGCAAGGCAGGGGUGGGGGUGGGGGCUCGGUGAGAGUCAUGCCCGCCCAGGCCCAUCAGAAAGAAGGCAUGACAGGUGGGGUGGGUGGGGCUCCUGCUACACCUGAGUUGCUGGAGGUCUGAGACGCCAUCAAGGAAGAGGGGCCCCAGGGCUAAGACUUUCCCUCAAGUUGUUAGGAUUGCAGGCAGGAUAUGCUGGAGGCAGCUGGCUGAAGAAGAAAGAUGGGCACUCCUCCCUACGCUUCUAGUUUCAAGCUUUUAGUGUAGGCCCCGGAUAGAUGGCAACCACCUCCCACGGACUUCACGUGUCAGAAGCCACCUUCUGUGCCCCCAGCACCACGUGUCUGGGCCACGUGAGCAACGCCACGUGGGCCUGACGUGGAGCUGGGGCCGCAGGGGUCUGUUGGCCUGCUCUUUCAGAGUCUGGGCUCCAGGCUCUGCCUCGGCGCUUAUCAACCCUGGGAACAUCUGCUGACCUGGUCCCUGAAGAUGGUCCAGACAAGCCUGAGUGACCCUGUGAGAUGAAGAGGGGUGGGUGGAGACGCUCAGGAGGAAAAGGCCUGGGGAUUCAUUGUACGGGACUCCCGUGUAGGUGCUAGAGAGUUGGGCAUGGCUGGGAGAGGGCAGGCAUGGGGGUUGGGUGAGGAGGAGAAGGGCAUGGCCGCAUAGGGGUUGUGGGUGGGAAGACAGUGACAUUGGGCAGCAUGCGAGUGGGUGUCUAGGUGUCUAGGUGGGCCUUGUCUCAACAUUCUUGCUAGGAGCUUGGAGGGGGCAAACUGGGCUACUUUGGGCCCAUGGGACCCGUUGAUGCCCUGGAGAGCAUGAGGGCUUGGGUAGGUGACUUGCUGUGUCACCUUGGGACUAAUGAAGGGGAGAUCUGGCUGUUUUGAGUCUUUGACUCUUAAUCGGCUCUGGAAUUCCAAAUGUCUCUAGUUCUGGGGUUUCGUGACUCAGAGUAGGGCUCCCCAGGAUACAGCAUAUGUGUGGGGAGGGUGGUCUGCAUGUGCUCCCAAGUUGGACUCCCAGCAUCUCUGCCUGUUCAGGGCUACCUUAGACGUAUUUAUUUCUUCCAACAUGAUAAAACAAGGCAAAUUUUCUCUUCCGAUUGACAUUCAUGUGCAGUACACAAAGUCCUUUCCCUGAUGAUAUGGGGACCUACAGCUCUCCUUGGCUCCCCCACAACUCCCAGCCCAUCCUUGGGGCAAGUGGGUCAAAGCCCCUGAUGUUUUUCUGAGUUGAAGGUGUCAAUGUAAAGUUGUGUGACUCAGAGCAGGGGGAAGUGCAUCCCCAGGUCUUCCCUUCAUGUGCUCCAUCUUUCUUUCUGCUUCCAAAAUUGUUUUUUUCUUUUAAUGACCAUCCACUUUUAAAGGCCUCAUUGACAUUGUCCACUUUUUGUUGUUUCCUGUCCGUUGCAAUGAACAUCUUGUUGUCCAUGCUUUCUUUGCUUCAUAGUCUCUCUCACUCCCUGCUUGGGGGUCCACCGAAUGGCUUUGGCAUCUCGGUCUACCCAUCUGACUGUUGCUGGUGCAUGGCCAUCUUUUUUUUUUUUAAAUUACAAAUGGCAUCACAGCUAAAGGCUUUGCAUGAGCAGCUUUUCCAGCCUUUCCAAGAACUUCCCUACAUCUAUCUAGUUCUUCCCAUGGCCUCUGUCUUUUCAUGUCACAUCCUUCUGCUAGACUGUGAGCCCAUUCAGGGCAAGGAACUUGUGGGACUGACCUGUAUCCCUUGUAGGAUGUAUAUGAAUGCUUGCUGGGUGUGUAUGGAAGGGUAGAUAGGUAUGGGUGACAGAGUGACUGAGCAGUCGGCAGGCCGAUGAGAGGACAGAUGAGUGGAUUAGUGAAUGAAUGAAUGAAUGAAUGAAUGAAGAGUGAGUGAAUGAAUGGAUUCUGUGUGACUGAGCUUCCUGGGUGAAAGGUUAGGGGUGUUCGUGUGACUGUUGAUUGAUUUCAGGAGGCCCAUAUUAUUUUGUCAUGUCCAAUGAUGUAUUAGUAUUUCUCUGUAAAAGUAUGAUUUCUAAUGUGUUUUAAAACUUGUUCUAAUUACUAAUGAAAUGAAGGCUGAAUAUUUUUCA